AGAGACGGAGGAUCACUUAGCAAUUACUACAAACUUAGAAGACGAAAUUGAUAAAAAUUGAGAGUCUAGGUAUCAAAAUAAAAACUGUCGUCUAAAAUGAACUUUUAAUCUAAUUGCAAUGUGUUCCCACUUAAGCACUUAUAAAUGCUUCUCCCACGUCGCCAGGAAUUUAAUACCGCGAAUGAUAGCUGAAACCUCUACAGAAAGUUGAAGUUCUCAUAAAGCUUUGCUCAAGUUCCAUUCUCUUCAAUCUCGGAAAAAAAAAAAAAAAAAAAAAAAAAACCGUUCUCUUUUUUUUCCUAAAAACAGAAAAAAAAAAAAAAAAAAAAAAAAUUCCAUUCUCUUUUAGUACUCCGUUUUCCAUAAACAAGCUAUAGGUUGUGAGUUUCUAAUGGCUUCCUUCGGCGCUCAAAAGGCUUGUACAUCCUUGUCCUCAUCAUCUUCUUCUAUGUCUCAAUGGAAAUACGAAGUUUUUCUCAGUUUUUAUGGUGAGGACACCCGGAAGAAUUUUACAGAUCAUCUAUAUGCUACUUUGAUACGGAAAGGCAUUAAUGUUUAUAGAGAUAAUGAAAAUCUCAAGCAAGGAAAACCUAUUGCUUCAGGCCUCAUGAAAGCGAUAGAAGAAUCUCAAUAUGCAAUUAUUAUUCUCUCAAAAAACUAUGCUUUAUCAAAGUGGUGUUUGAAUGAACUUGUCAAAAUUCUUGAAUGCAUGAAAGAGAAGGGUCUGAAAGUUCGACCUAUUUUCUACCAUGUAAAUCCCUCUGAUGUUGGGAAUCAGAGGGAGAGUUUUGAGAAAGCAUUUCUCAAGCAUGAAGAAGAUCGCAAGGUUGGCAAAGAACAGAUAAAAGAGUGGAGAUCUGCACUGAAAGAAGUGAGCAAGAUCCGCGGGAGGCAUUUAGUGGAUAGUCCGGAAUCAGAAGAUAUUGAGGAAAUCACAAAAAGCAUAUUUGAUGAAUUGAAUUGUGAAUUAUCAGAUGAUUCUGAGCACCUUGUUGGAAUAGACUCACAUGUGAAGGAAAUGAUGAACUUAUUUAGUACAAUGUCAGAUGAUGUGUACUUCAUAGGGAUUUGGGGGAUGCCUGGGAUUGGUAAAACCACUCUAGCACUUGCCAUUUACAACAGAAUUCGUCAUCAAUUUGAAGCUAGCAGCUUUAUUUAUGACAUUAGAGAAAAAGAUGAAAAAAUGGGUCGAGAACAUUUACAAAAACAGCUUCUUUAUGAGGCACUGAGGGUAAAGGAAGACAUUUGGGACCCUCGUAUAGGGAUCAAUGUCAUAAAGAAGAGACUACUAAAUAAGAAGGUUCUUAUUGUUCUUGACGAUGUUGACAAAGAUGAACAGCUAGAGGCAUUAGCAGGGGAGCCUAACUGGUUUGGUCGAGGGAGUAUGAUCAUUAUCACAAGUAAAGAUAAGCACUUGCUAAAGAGGCAUCACCUGGGUACUACUAUACAUAAGGUACGUGGAUUAGAUAAUGAUGAAGCUUUGGAGCUCUUCAGUUGGUAUGUGUUUAAACAAACCUAUCCUAAAAAAGAUUUUGAGGAUUUGUCCAAUGGUUUUGUGAAGUACGCUAAAGGGCUUCCUAUAGCUCUUAAAGUUUUGGGUUCCUCCUUGAUUGAUAGACCAAGAGAGGUAUGGGAAGAUCACCUGCAUCAAUUAGAAGAAAUCCUUGAAGGAGAAACUCUUGAAGGGGAAAUUCCUGAAGAAAAAAUUCUUGAUAAACUUGAAAUAAGUUAUAGGGGAUUGACUAAAGCAGAGAAAGAUCUAUUUUUGGAUAUAGCGUGUUUCUUCAAAGGGGAGGAUAAAAAUCGAGUAGCGCAUAUAGAAGGUUCUGGUUGCAAGAAGAAUGUAGAAACUCUCAAGGACAAAUCUCUCAUUGCCAUUUUAGGGGGAAAAUUACAUAUGCAUGAUUUAAUACAACAGAUGGGUUGGAGAAUUGUUAGUCGUGAAUCACCUCAAGAGUGUGGAAGACGCAGUAGGUUGUGGCUUUGUAAGAAUGUGUUUCAUGUGCUAAAGAAAAAUACUGGAACAGAAUUUGUUAAAGGCAUAGUUCUUGAUUUCCGGGGAAAAGAAGUUCGACGUAAAGAAAACUUGAAUGACAAAGCCUUCUCAAAUAUGGAAAGUCUAAGGUUGCUUAAAAUUUCUAAUGUGCACCUUCCAAAAGGGCUUGAUUUUCUUUCUAAUGAGUUAAGAAUGAUGGAAUGGCAUGAUUAUCCUUUGAAAUCAAUGCCAGUCGAUUUUCAACCAGACAAUCUUGUUGAACUCAUCAUGCCACGCAGCCACAUUGAGCAAUUACCAGAGGGACUUACCAACUUGGCCAAGUUAAGACUCCUGGAUCUUAGCGACUCUAAAGUCUUAGUCAAGACUCCUAACUUCAUCGGAUGCCCAAAUCUGGAGAGGCUGAUUUUUCAGGGAUGUACAAGUUUGUAUGAGCUUCACCCAUCUAUCGGAGCUCUCAAUAAGCUUACUUUGUUGAAUCUGAAAGAUUGCAGAAGUCUUACUAGCCUCCCUUGUGAAAUAAACUUCAAAUCUCUUGAAAUUUUUAUUCUAUCUGGCUGUUCAAGUCUCAAGAAGUUUUCAGAGAUUGGAACAAAUAUGACAAGCUUGUCAGAGCUGUAUUUAGAUGGGACUGCUGUGGAAGAAUUGCCAUCAUCACUCAAUCGUUUGACUGGCUUGACGGUCUUGAGUCUUCAAGGUUGCAAAAACAUUUCAAGUUUCCCAAUUGUCAAUUUGCCGUCUCUGAAAACUCUCAAUCUAUCUGACCGGAUUGUCCCUAAAUCCGGGCUUUUGCACGGAUACUCCCUCGCCCAUACUGUAAAUGAUUUUUUCAAAGGUUGCUUCCCUAUCCGAGAGGUCAGCAACCUGUUGUUGCCUUGGUUAAGAUUUAAUGUCUCUCUCAAUCUAUCUGACCGCAAUUUAUGGGACGGUGGACUCCCCGAUGAUCUUAGUUGCUUAUCCUCGUUGCAGACAUUAGAUUUGAGCAAAAACAACUUUACACGCCUGCCUGAUAGUAUUUCUCAGCUUUCUAAGCUUAAAUCUCUUAAAUUGAAUGAUUGUAGCAGGCUUCAAUCAUUACCAGACCUUCCAUUAAGUAUAGAAAUUGUAGAUGCACGAAGAUGUCCUUUGUUGGAAAAGUAUUCAAAUCAGUAUGUCACAUGGACUUCGGGUGAGACAGGGUGCACUAUGGUUGUUUAUGAUGACCACAGUGAACACCGCAUGCCGAGCUUACCAUCCUAUGAAAGAGUUGUGGAGGAUGCAAUUCUUCGAAAUAGUAUCUUCUGGGUGUUGUUAUGUUCAACUGAAACUCCAGAGUGGUUCAUCCAUCAGAGCCCUGGGUCAUCUUUAGCAAUUCCGCUACCUUCUAAUCUGUGUGGUGAUAGAAAUUGGAUAGGGAUCGCUUUGUUUACUAGUGUUGUAAUCCAUGAAAAUUUGAACAUUGUUUCUUCUGGUCAGGAUGAUGAAGUUUCUGUUGACUUUAUUUGUAGAUCAGACAUAAUUGAAUGUCCAUGUACAAAUUUUCCCGUAGUCUUUAACAUCUCCAAAUACCUACCUAUACCCGUACAACAUACGAGUUCAUAUGGGGUGAAGGUACUUAUUCCAGCCUGGAAACUUAGAGACCAUUUAGAGGAUUGCAAUUGCAUUAGGGCUUUUAUUAGGAGCGAGUGCGCUUAUAUCAAGAUCGAAAAGUGUGGUGCGCGUGUACUAUACAAGCAAGAUUUGGGAAAGUUUCUAGAAGCUAGUGGCGAGAUGAAGCAAGGAUCCAAAUGCGACCUUGAUAAGGUGGAAUCUUCUAGACUGUGUCAGGACCUAAUUCAUCAAAAUGAAAACUAUAUAGAGUUUUCAAGUUCAACUGAAAUUCCAGAGUGGUUCAGCCAUCAGAACCUUGGGUCAUCUAUAACAUUGCCACUACCUCUGGAUCUGCAUGAUAAUAAUAGUUGGAUAGGGAUUGCUCUGUUUAUUGUUUUUAUAGUCCAUAAAAAAUUGAACAGAAAAGAUUAUAAAUUUUUUGUCAAAUUUACUUGUAUAUCAGACAUGGUUAAAGGUCUUGUAGAUAGACAUCUCUUGAGCGUCGUUGACAUAGUUGGAUUCGAACAUGAACGCUAUCGCCUCAAUGUUUCAUGUAGUAUUAAAUUACUUAUUCAUGCUGGGCAACUUAGAGACUAUCUAAAGGAACGCAGUUGGAUUAGAACUUUGAUUAUGAGUGAGAGCCCUUAUGUCCAGAUCAAGAUGUGUGGUGCCCGUCUAGUUUACAUGCAAGAUCUGGAAAAGUUUGUACAAGCUAAAGACAAGAUCAAGCGAAGAUCCAAAUGCCAGAUGGAUAAGGUGGAAUCUAAUCAGUCCAAUGACCGGCUUAAAGCAAAGCUAAUGUCAUUGCUUUUAAGAGUGUAUCAGGGUGACUUGGCUCGAAACCAUAAAUAUGAUUAUGUCUUUCCUCAUACGAAAGUUCCAGACUGGUUCAGUCAUCGAAGUUUUUGUUCGGACAUAAGAGUUAAAUUGCCCAACAAUUUGCAUCAUGAAGGGGGAUGGAUGGGAAUCGCUGUGUGUGCUUAUUAUACUGUCCACAAGCAAUCAGCAAUAUCUGGUGACAAUAAGGAUUUAGCAAGUUUUCUCAACUUUUAUAAUCCUUUAGUUAGUCAUCGAGUUUGCCUCACUUAUCACAGGGUCUUUCAGGAAUCUAAAGACAUUUAUGUCGAGUCACCCCAUCGACUUUUGGUAUUUUAUAUCCCACACGUGUUUCUUCGGCUGGAAGAGUGUCGACAUAUCGGUGCUUCAUUUGAACACAAUAAAGCAGAUGUGUGGGUUAAAGGGUGUGGACUCCGCUUUGUAUACGAGCAAGAUGUUGAAAAGUUUGUGCAAACAUUAGCCCAGUGCAUGUUAGAAAGUCCAGAUGCCUAUCAUGAGUGUUUUUAUCAAAAUUUGUUACAUCAAGUUGAGGAAAGGGAAGCAAGCAAAGAUUUUGGUUUCUCUUCCUCACUGCAAAGGAUGCCUCAACCCAUGCCCAUCCUUCAACGAAGUAUUGAAAAUAUAGCAGAGGGUUGUACCUCUUCGGAAACAAUUCUGAGCUGUUUUACUGGUUUUCUCACAAUAGCUAGGAAAGAGCAAUAUGCAAGUAUUAUGUCAAGUGAAUCUUUGAUCAAAGCACGUUUAGAGAAAAACUUUGAUGAGGGUGAAAUCUUCAAUUGCUGUUUUGCUGAGCGUGAAAUCCCACUGUGGUUUUGUUACGAAUAUAAGAAGUCAAUGGAAUUCCCGCUAUCUCCAGAAUUUGUUAAUGAUCCUGAUUGGAUGGGAUUUGCACUAUGUGGUCUUUUCUUAUUUAGAAUGCAUCCAACUGCUGUUCGUCAGAGUCUGAAUUCAAAUGAAAAUGAAAUGCUCCCAUUCUGUUGUGUUUUGCAGACCAGCUCUUGUUAUUGGGGUUUAGUAUGCGAUGGAUUAUUGACUACAGACAACGAAUUAGUUACGUUAAAUCAACGUGCAUUCAUUUGGGUAAUGUUCAUCCCACGUACAACGCAUGGACAUUUAUGGAGUCAAAACGCUUGGGCUGAAUUCCAGCUUAAAACCAAAACGCCAGAUUUGUACGCACAGAGUUUUGGGAUGAAAGUUGUAUAUAGGCAUAACAUGGAAAAGUUAACACAAAUACUGGUGCAAUGCUCUGCCCCAUUUGAUAGCUUCCUUGACUCCUUCAGUCCCCAGAGGUUCUGCCGUGUAUGGGAUAAUAAUCCUGAGCUCUUCUUUGGAAGAAAGAACUGUUAUGAGUACCUGCACCCCCAAAGGUUAUUCAUUUCUCAGGAGGAGACUAAUGUAACUGCUCAAUAUUCUUACGAGGAGGACUCAUACCCUCACAAUCGUUUCCGGUACUUUCAUCCAUCCACUUUAUAUAAUUCUUGUUUCCCAACAAGAAGAACUCCAAGGUGGUUUGAUCAUCAUUGUCGUUUUGGGCACUCGGUGACAAUUGAGAUACCCUCAAAUUUGUACGAAGACAACAAUUGGUUGGGGCUUGCCCUAUAUGCUUCUAUUUUAAUCCCCAGGGGUCAAGUUUCAGCAAAUUCAUCCCACUUUCUAUAUUGUCAAUUCCAAACGAGUAAAGCUAGUCUAGACAAUCAAAUCCUUGUUUGCCGCACCACUGAUGAAGAGGACAACUGGUUACAUCAAUUAUUUGGACUCAUUUGGAUAUCCUACAUACCUGGUGAUGCCUUGAACGAUAUGCUGUAUCAAUGUGGCCACAUUAAGGCUUCGUUUGUUAGUGAUCGGCCAAGCGUGAUGGUGCAAAAAUGUGGGCUUCGUCUCUUGUACCAGCAUGAUCUGUCACAGUUUGAGCAACAACUAAAACAUUGCAAUGCUUACAUUUCUGCACAUCGGGAUGCCAAAUGUGAACUUAGCCGUGCUGGCGGGAGACAAAUGAAAAUACGUCGGCAUAUUCCUAACGAAGUUGUAUCUCCGCUCAAUAAAUAUGACCAGCAGGGUGGGCACUCUGAAUAUUCAUUUUGUUUCCCCCCAGUGGAAAUUUUACAUUAUUUCUACUACCAGAGUAAUGGGCCCUCAGUGAAAAUUGAUAUAUCCAAUUAUUUUUUCAAUGACAACAAGUGGAUCGGACUUAUUUUAUGUGCUUAUUUUUCAAGCGAUAGGCAUCAAGCUGCAAUUAUUGAAAAUCCCAAUUCAUCGAUUUCUCACCACCUUAUUUGUGUUUUGGAAACGGACCUAGCUGAUCCAGAGCCAGAAAUCCAUGUCCAUCGCACCUUUAAAACAGAAUUUACGUGGCUAGAUAUUGAGGGUGGAUUUCUUUGGCUGUGCUAUAUUCCAUGUUGUCCACUUCUAGAUGAGUUCAGUUGUAUCAAGGCUUCAAUUAUAAGUGACUGGCCAGGUAUCAUUGUGCAAAAAUGUGGGCUUAGUUUCUACCAUAUGGGUGAUAAUUGGUUUGAGAAAAUAGUAGAUCAUUGCUUUGGAGAAAAGCAACAUUGGCAUCAAGGUUUGAACGAUCAAUUAACAGCUCGUCAUAAAGUGAAAAUUAGUAGAGCUAAGAAUCAACUCUCCCAAAGCCACUUGCCGGGCUUUGAUGGAUCCUGUGACUAUAAUUCUUGUUGCCCUCCAAUUGAAAUUCCGCAUUGGUUCCUCAUUCAAAGUGACGAGUCCCACGUGACAUUCAGACUAACUCGAGUAUUACAUAAUAGAAGUACUUGGCUGGGAGUUGCUCUAUGUGCAGUUUUUUUAGUUACAGAGGAUGUGGCUAGUCUCAAUGACAUAAUGGAUUCAAUAUCUUCUUACAAACUUAUUUGUCACUUGGAAGCAAGUAAUGGGCCUAAUGAUCUGAGUGUGAAACCUCGCCAUAUCUAUUGGCCAACUAAAGAAGAUUUCAUGAUGUCACUAUUGGGUGGAUUCACUUGGCUGACCUAUAUACCACGUGGGUCGUUUCCUGAUUGGCUAUAUGAUUGUGACUACAUUGAGGUUUCAUUUGAGACAAAUUGCUCUUACUUGAAGGUGCUGAAUUGUGGCCUUCGUCUGUUGUACCAGGAUUCGGUGGAAGAGUUCAAGAACUGCGUGAAGAAGAACUGCAUGGAGUCCGAGUCUGAUUUUUUGGGCAUCCAUGAUCAAAAGAAGACUGAGAAUAUAAAUAAAAAAAUGUGGUCUUGGAUUCAGAAUGAACUCUACAAAAAUGACCCAUUGGGCUUUGAUCGAUGCAUUUUAUGUAAUCCCCGUUUGCCUCCAAGUGAAAUUUUGGACUGGUUCAGUAGACUGAGCGAUGAGCCCUGGGUGACAAUCGAUCUACCUCCAAAUUUGUACAGUGAUAGUUCUUGGAUGGGUUUGGUUCUAUGCGCUUAUUUUGCUAUAGAUGUGAAUUCAAUUGUCCACUUUGACAUUCUGGAUUCAGAUACUAGUCCUACCCUUAUUUGUCAUUUGGAAACCAAUGUUGGUCAUGUGAGAUCUCCUCAUGGUUAUAGCCUGACUGAAGAAAAUCUCGUGAUGCUACAGCAAGGUGGAUGCAUUUUGCUAUCCUAUAGAGGGCGAAAUUGUUUGAAUCAAGCCAACUGCGUUAAGGCUUCAUUUACAACUGACUGCCCAGGUUUGAAGGUGGAGAUAUGUGGCCUUCGUCUCUUGAACCAUUAUGAGUUGGAAGAGUUUGAGCAGACAAUAUUAAGCCAUAGCAUGAACUCCAGCUCGUCUGAUGAUUGGGAUCUCAUCCAUCAAUUGCCCACUGAAGAUGGAAAUAGGGAUACGCAAAAGCAUGAUUAUGGUGAAGGAACCUCCAGCUCUAGGAAGGAGUCUAAUUUUGGAAGCCUGAGGAGACCCAUUGAUCCAAAAGACAAGGGCAAGCGAGUUCUGGAAGAAUAAUCUCUCUCAUGGGGCUCUUCCUUCUGAACUUAUUGAAUGCUAGAGAGGAAAUUUUCUAUAAGCUGAUAUUGAGCAUUUCCCACUGCAAUCAGGAGUACUUGUCCACCCUGUCUUGAUUUUCCCAAUUCAUGUGAAGGGGGCUGCUAGUAGCUUGAUGGUGCUGGUGAACUGGUUUAGUGCUUAGGUAGUUUCCUUUACAUUCAACUUUCUAAUGAAAUGGAGUUCCUCAUACUUUUUUCAUCUACCCUGCAUAGAAUCCUAGAGGGAGAGAUGGCUACAAAUAAUUGAACCGACCAUUGGAUUUUAUUUUGGCUCAAGUAUCAUCUUCAUUUGGUGCUGAGAAUUCAAGUUUAAAUAUGGCAAGAAGACUUUAAACCAUAUGUUUUAUUAACAAAUUCUUUGGGCCCCAAGUAGAUUAGAUUUAUGGGCAAAAGAAGGAAGAGGAAAUGAAAAUUAUUUAUGGGUUGGACAAUAGACAGCAGAGACAAUUUUCAACAAGCAUAAAUAUGUAUGCUUGGCUCGUGUAAAAGAACACAGGGAUUACUAUUUCUAUCCCAUUUUUGUAGAGUUUUCUGUUAUACUUCCGUAUUGCAAACCAGAAAUAAAUUUUUUAAUCUAGGUUAUUUCUAAA